AACGAACGCUGGCGGCAGGCUUAACACAUGCAAGUCGAGCGCCCCGCAAGGGGAGCGGCAGACGGGUGAGUAACGCGUGGGAAUCUACCCAUCUCUACAGAAUAACGCAUGGAAACGGGUGCUAAUACCGUAUACAUCCUUCGGGAGACAGAUUUAUCGGAGAUGGGUGAGCCCGCGUUGGAUUAGCUAGUUGGUGGGGUAAAGGCCUACCAAGGCGACGAUCCAUAGCUGGUCUGAGAGGAUGAUCAGCCACACUGGGACUGAGACACGGCCCAGACUCCUACGGGAGGCAGCAGUGGGGAAUAUUGGACAAUGGGCGCAAGCCUGAUCCAGCCAUGCCGCGUGAGUGAUGAAGGCCCUAGGGUUGUAAAGCUCUUUCACCGGUGAAGAUAAUGACGGUAACCGGAGAAGAAGCCCCGGCUAACUUCGUGCCAGCCGCCGCAGUAAUAC
rnacentral:rRNA from 1 species